AGAAGCACAAAAACUACUCUUAAAGAAAUAUGUUAUGGAGUUCUCCUAUCAACUCCAGAAUUGAUGUCAGCGACUUUUAAUUGCAAAGUGGCCCAGAUACAAAGAAUGUAUUAAAGACAGCCGCUCGUUUGACUCGAAGGAAGAGUAUAGAUUGGUUGACUAUGUUGCCGGAUCGAAAGAGGACUUCCAAGAUCCUUGGACAAGUGUUGAUUACGUUUACUCUCCAUUCAAUGUCCAUGUCAACCAUUGGGUUAUAUUAUGCUUGGAUUUGGUAAGUUGUCAAGUCAAGGUAUGGGAUUCGCUUCGGUCGCUUACAAGUGCCGAAGAGAUGAGAAACAUAUUAUUGCUUAUUCGAGAGUUGGUGCCAAAUUUGUUAGAUAGUAUUGGAUUCUUUACUAGGAGAGGUAGAUCAUCGACAUACAAGGAACCUUUGUCAGUUGUCAUUGUCGACUCCAUUCCACUACAACGAAAUAAUAGUGAUUGUGGCGUAUUCACCAUUAA